GGUCCUAGUGUAGUGUAGUGGUUAGUGUGUCGGAUUAGGACCUGGGAGGCCAGAGUUCAAAUCCCUGCUCAGCCA